CACGUAGGGCGCGAGCGUUGUCCGGAAUUAUUGGGCUUAACGAGCUCGUAGGCGGCCUGUUGCGUCCGCUGUGAAAGCCCGGGGCUUAACCCCGGGUCGGCAGUGGAUACGGGCAGGCUAGAGGUAGGUAGGGGAGAAUGGAAUUCCCGGUGUAGCGGUGAAAUGCGCAGAUAUCGGGAGGAACACCGGUGGCGAAGGCGGUUCUCUGGGCCUUACCUGACGCUGAGGAGCGAAAGCGUGGGGAGCGAACAGG
rnacentral:rRNA from 1 species